GGAGAAAUGGCCGAGUGGUUGAAGGCGCGCGCCUGGAAAGUGCGUAUACUCCAAAAGGGUAUCGUGGGUUCGAAUCCCGCUUUCUCCGCCA
rnacentral:tRNA from 1 species